rnacentral:lncRNA from 1 species
AGCUUGGCCUCCAGAGGAGAGGAUGCUGUCUGGUGCUGGGCUACAUGGCCAAGGACAAGUUUCGGAGAAUGAAUGAAGGUCAAGUCUACUCCUUCAGCCAGCAACCCCAGGACCAAGUGGUGGUGUCAGGACAACCAGUGACUCUGCUGUGUGCCAUCCCUGAAUAUGAUGGCUUCGUCCUGUGGAUCAAAGAUGGCUUGGCUCUAGGUGUAGGCAGAGACCUCUCAAGCUACCCCCAGUACCUGGUGGUGGGGAACCACCUCUCAGGAGAGCAUCACCUGAAGAUCCUGAGGGCUGAGCUGCAGGACGAUGCUGUGUACGAGUGCCAGGCCAUCCAGGCUGCCAUCCGGUCCCGCCCUGCACGCCUUACAGUCCUGGGGACGAAAUGAACUUAUCCACAGAUACGAGAAUCUUAUUCCAGGACAGAGCUCCAGGAAUUGGGGGGCUGUCCUGUGGGAGAAAAAAUGCAAAGAA